rnacentral:rRNA from 1 species
AUUGAACGCUGGCGGCAUGCCUUACACAUGCAAGUCGAACGGCAGCACGGGUGCUUGCACCUGGUGGCGAGUGGCGAACGGGUGAGUAAUACAUCGGAACAUGUCCUGUAGUGGGGGAUAGCCCGGCGAAAGCCGGAUUAAUACCGCAUACGAUCUACGGAUGAAAGCGGGGGACCUUCGGGCCUCGCGCUAUAGGGUUGGCCGAUGGCUGAUUAGCUAGUUGGUGGGGUAAAGGCCUUCCAAGGCGACGAUCAGUAGCUGGUCUGAGAGGACGACCAGCCACACUGGGACUGAGACACGGCCCAGACUCCUACGGGAGGCAGCAGUGGGGAAUUUUGGACAAUGGGCGAAAGCCUGAUCCAGCAAUGCCGCGUGUGUGAAGAAGGCCUUCGGGUUGUAAAGCACUUUUGUCCGGAAAGAAAUCCUUGGCCCUAAUACGGUCGGGGGAUGACGGUACCGGAAGAAUAAGCACCGGCUAACUACGUG